AUUGAACGCUGGCGGCAUGCUUUACACAUGCAAGUCGAACGGUAACAGGCCGCAAGGUGCUGACGAGUGGCGAACGGGUGAGUAAUGCACCGGAACGUGCCCAGUCGUGUGGGAUAACGCAGCGAAAGCUGUGCUAAUACCGCAUACGAUCUAUGGAUGAAAGCGGGGGACUGUAAGGCCUCGCGCGAUUGGAGCGGCCGAUGUCAGAUUAGGUAAUUGGUGGGGUAAAGGCUCACCAAGCCAACGAUCUGUAGCUGGUCUGAGAGGACGACCAGCCACACUGGGACUGAGACACGGCCCAGACUCCUACGGGAGGCAGCAGUGGGGAAUUUUGGACAAUGGGCGCAAGCCUGAUCCAGCAAUGCCGCGUGCAGGAAGAAGGCCUUCGGGUUGUAAACUGCUUUUGUACGGAACGAAAAGGUUUGGGUUAAUACCCUGGGCCGAUGACGGUACCGUAAGAAUAAGCACCGGCUAACUACGUGCCAGCAGCCGCCGUAA
rnacentral:rRNA from 1 species